rnacentral:rRNA from 1 species
AUUGAACGCUGGCGGCAUGCCUUACACAUGCAAGUCGAACGGUAACAGGUCUUCGGAUGCUGACGAGUGGCGAACGGGUGAGUAAUACAUCGGAACGUGCCCGAUCGUGGGGGAUAACGAAGCGAAAGCUUUGCUAAUACCGCAUACGAUCUACGGAUGAAAGCAGGGGACCGCAAGGCCUUGCGCGAACGGAGCGGCCGAUGGCAGGUUAGGUAGUUGGUGGGAUAAAAGCUUACCAAGCCGACGAUCUGUAGCUGGUCUGAGAGGACGACCAGCCACACUGGGACUGAGACACGGCCCAGACUCCUACGGGAGGCAGCAGUGGGGAAUUUUGGACAAUGGGCGAAAGCCUGAUCCAGUCAUGCCGCGUGCAGGAUGAAGGCCUUCGGGUUGUAAACUGCUUUUGUACGGAACGAAAAGACUCUGGUUAAUACCUGGGGUCCAUGACGGUACCGUAAGAAUAAGCACCGGCUAACUACGUG